rnacentral:rRNA from 1 species
GUAGGUGGCAAGCGUUGUCCGGAAUUAUUGGGGCGUAAAGCGCGCGCAGGCGGUUCUUUAAGUCUGAUGUGAAAGCCCACGGGCUCAACCGUGGAGGGUCAUUGGAAACUGGAGAACUUGAGUACAGAAGAGGAAAGCGGAAUUCCACGUGUAGCGGUGAAAUGCGUAGAGAUGUGGAGGAACACCAGUGGCGAAGGCGGCUCUCUGGUCUGUAACUGACGCUGAGGCGCGAAAGCGUGGGGAGCAAACAGGAUUAGAUACCCUGGUAGUCCACGCCGUAAACGAUGAGUGCUAAGUGUUAGGGGGUUUCCGCCCCUUAGUGCUGCAGCUAACGCAUUAGGCACCCCGCCUGGGGAGUACGGCCGCAAAGGCUG